ensembl:lncRNA
CUGGGGAUGAGUGGGGGUCCUCCAGAGCCAUAGAGUUGUGGCACUUGAGGGGAUAGAGUGGACACAGGGGUUGUUGGGGGGACUGGGUAGGCCUGGAGGACCUCCAGGGCCAUAGAGUUGUAGCGUAUGCGGGGCUAGAGUGGGCAUAAGGGUUGCUUGGAGGACUGGGGAGGGGUGGAGGUCCUCCAGAGCCAUAGAGUUGUGGCACUUGAGGGGCUAGAGUGGGCAUAAGGGUUGCUUGGAGGGCUGGGGGUCCUCCAGGGUCAUAGAGUUGCGGGGUGGGUGGGGGGAGAGCGGGCGGUUUUGCGUUCGGAGGACUCACCAUUCACCUGCCCAUACCCGGAAGUCCUCCAGAGCCAUAGAGUUGCAGCACUUGAGGGGAUAGAGUGGCCACAGGGGUUGCUGGGGGGACUGGGGAGGAGUGGGGGUCCUCCAGAGCCAUAGAGUUGUGGUAUUUGAGAGGAUAGAGUGGACACAGGGGUUGCUUGGAGGGCUGGGUAGGCCUGGAGGUCCUCCAGAGCCAUAGAGUUCUAGCGUGUGUGGGGCUAGAGUGGGCAUAAGGGUUGCUUGGAGGGUUGGCUAGGCCUGGAGGUCCUCCAGAGUCAUAAAGUUGGGGGAUAUGUGGGGAUAGAGUGGGCAUAAGGGUUGCUUGGAGGACUGUGUAGGCCUGGAGGUCCUCCAGAGCCAUAGAGUUGUGGCAGUUGAGGGGAUAGAGUGGCCACAGGGGUUGCUUGGGGGACUGGGGAGGGGUGGGGACCUCCAGAGCCAUAGAGUUGGGGGAUAUGUGGGGAUAGAGUGGGCAUAAGGGUUGCUGGGAGGGCUGGCUAGGCCUGGAGGACCUCCAGAGUCAUAGAGUUGUGGCACUUGAGGGGAUAGAG